rnacentral:rRNA from 1 species
AUACGAAGGGGGCUAGCGUUGUUCGGAAUUACUGGGCGUAUAGCGCGCGUAGGCGGAUUGGUCAGUUAGGGGUGAAAUCCCAGGGCUUAACCCUGGAACUGCCUCUAAUACUGCCAGUCUUGAGUUCGGGAGAGGUGAGUGGAAUUCCUAGUGUAGAGGUGAAAUUCGUAGAUAUUAGGAAGAACACCAGUGGCGAAGGCGGCUCACUGGCCCGAUACUGACGCUGAGGCGCGAAAGCGUGGGGGGCAAACAGGAUUAGAAACCCUAGUAGUCC